AGUGAACGCUGGCGGUAGGCCUAACACAUGCAAGUCGAACGGCAGCAAAGUACGCACUUGCUCUAAACAAUGAAGAAAGGAGGACGGGUGAGGAAUACAUCGGCAUCUACUUUUUCGUGGGGGAUAACGUAGGGAAACUUACGCUAAUACAGCAUACGACCUACGGGUGAAAGCAGGGGAUCUUCGGACCUUGCGCGUUUGAAUGAGCCGAUGUCGGAUUAGCUAGUUGGCGGGGUAAAGUCCCACCAAGGCGACGAUCCGUAGCUGAUCUGAGAGGAUGAUCAGCCACACUGGAACUGAGACACGGUCCAGACUCCUACGGGAGGCAGCAGUAGGGAAUAUUGGACAAUGGGCGCAAGCCUGACCCAGCCAUACCGCGUGGGUGAAGAAGGCCUUCGGGUUGUAAAGCCCUGUUGUUGGGAAAGAACAGCAGCAUGUGAAUACCCCGCUGUCCUGACGGUACCCAAAGAAUAAGCACCGGCUAACUACGUG
rnacentral:rRNA from 1 species